rnacentral:rRNA from 1 species
UUUUUCGGAGAGUUUGAUCCUGGCUCAGGACGAACGCUGGCGGCGUGCCUAAUACAUGCAAGUCGAGCGAACAGAAGGGAGCUUGCUCCCGGAUGUUAGCGGCGGACGGGUGAGUAACACGUGGGUAACCUGCCUGUAAGACUGGGAUAACUCCGGGAAACCGGAGCUAAUACCGGAUAGUUCCUUGAACCGCAUGGUUCAAGGAUGAAAGACGGUUUCGGCUG